GACGAACGCUGGCGGCGCGCUUAACACAUGCAAGUCGAACGUGAAGCUGGAGCUUGCUCCGGUGGAAAGUGGCGAACGGGUGCGUAACACGUGAGCAACCUGCCCCGAAGACUGGGAUAA
rnacentral:rRNA from 1 species